UACAGAGGUCUCAAGCGUUGUUCGGAUUCAUUGGGCGUAAAGGGCGCGUAGGCUGCGGGGUAAGUCGGGUGUGAAAUCUCAGAGCUCAACUCUGAAACUGCACUCGAUACUGCUUUGCUUGAGGACUGGAGAGGAGAUUGGAAUUCACGGUGUAGCGGUGAAAUGCGUAGAUAUCGUAAGGAAGACCAGUGGCGAAGGCGGGUCUCUGGACAGUUCCUGACGCUGAGGCACGAAGGUCAGGGGAGCAAACGGG
rnacentral:rRNA from 1 species